rnacentral:rRNA from 1 species
UACGAAGGGGACUAGCGUUGUUCGGAUUUACUGGGCGUAAAGCGCGCGUAGGCGGAUCGCUAAGUCAGGGGUGAAAUCCCAGGGCUCAACCCUGGAACUGCCUUUGAUACUGACGGUCUGGAGAUCGGGAGAGGUUGGUGGAAUUCCGAGUGUAGAGGUGAAAUUCGUAGAUAUUAGGAAGAACACCAGUGGCGAAGGCGGCUCACUGGCCCGGUACUGACGCUGAGGCGCGAAAGCGUGGGGAGCAAACAGG